rnacentral:rRNA from 1 species
GGCCAUUGCCGCCAGCUAACACAUGCAGUCGAGCGGUAGCACAGAGAGCUUGCUCUCGGGUGACGAGCGGCGGACGGGUGAGUAAUGUCUGGGAAACUGCCUGAUGGAGGGGGAUAACUACUGGAAACGGUAGCUAAUACCGCAUAACGUCGCAAGACCAAAGUGGGGGACCUUCGGGCCUCAUGCCAUCAGAUGUGCCCAGAUGGGAUUAGCUAGUAGGUGGGGUAACGGCUCACCUAGGCGACGAUCCCUAGCUGGUCUGAGAGGAUGACCAGCCACACUGGAACUGAGACACGGUCCAGACUCCUACGGGAGGCAGCAGUGGGGAAUAUUGCACAAUGGGCGCAAGCCUGAUGCAGCCAUGCCGCGUGUGUGAAGAAGGCCUUCGGGUUGUAAAGUACUUUCAGCGGGGAGGAAGGCGAUAAGGUUAAUAACCUUGUCGAUUGACGUUACCCGCAGAAGAAGCACCGGCUAACUCCGUGCCAGCAGCCGCGGUAAUACGGAGGGUGCAAGCGUUAAUCGGAAUUACUGGGCGUAAAGCGCACGCAGGCGGUCUGUCAAGUCGGAUGUGAAAUCCCCGGGCUCAACCUGGGAACUGCAUUCGAAACUGGCAGGCUAGAGUCUUGUAGAGGGGGGUAGAAUUCCAGGUGUAGCGGUGAAAUGCGUAGAGAUCUGGAGGAAUACCGGUGGCGAAGGCGGCCCCCUGGACAAAGACUGACGCUCAGGUGCGAAAGCGUGGGGAGCAAACAGGAUUAGAUACCCUGGUAGUCCACGCCGUAAACGAUGUCGAUUUGGAGGUUGUGCCCUUGAGGCGUGGCUUCCGGAGCUAACGCGUUAAAUCGACCGCCUGGGGAGUACGGCCGCAAGGUUAAAACUCAAAUGAAUUGACGGGGGCCCGCACAAGCGGUGGAGCAUGUGGUUUAAUUCGAUGCAACGCGGAGAACCUUACCUGGUCUUGACAUCCACAGAACUUGCCAAAGAUGGCUUGGUGCCUUCGGGAACUGUGAGACAGGUGCUGCAUGGCUGUCUUCAGCUCUGGUUGUGAAAUGUUGGGUUAAGUCCCCCCACCAAGCCCACCCCUUAUCCUUUGUUGCCCGGUGUUCUGGCGGGGAACUCAAAGGACACUGCCAGUGAUAAACUCGGAGGAAUGUGGGGUAUGAAGGUAAAGUUAUAUUGGGGCCUUAG